rnacentral:rRNA from 1 species
GACGAACGCUGGCGGCGUGCUUAACACAUGCAAGUCGAACGCUGAAGCCCUUUCGGGGGUGGAUGAGUGGCGAACGGGUGAGUAACACGUGGGUAAUCUGCCCUGCACUCUGGGAUAAGCCUUGGAAACGGGGUCUAAUACCGGAUAGGACACAUCGCCGCAUGGUGUGUGUGUGGAAAGUUCCGGCGGUGCAGGUUGAGCCCGCGGCCUAUCAGCUUGUUGGUGGGGUGAUGGCCUACCAAGGCGACGACGGGUAGCCGGCCUGAGAGGGUGACCGGACACACUGGGACUGGGACACGGCCCAGACUCCUACGGGAGGCAGCAGUGGGGAAUCUUGCGCAAUGGGCGAAAGCCUGACGCAGCAACGCCGCGUGGGGGAUGACGGCCUUCGGGUUGUAAACCUCUUUCGACCGGGACGAAGGGUGACUGACGGUACCGGUAGAAGAAGCACCGGCUAACUACGUGCCAGCAGCCGCUGUAA